GGAUGGAUGGCCGAGUGGUUAUGGCGUGUGACUCAAGCUCAGCAAACGUGCUUCUUACUCCUUAUAGGAGUAGGUGUAUUCUCAUGGGGCAACCCGCGGGGGUUCGAAUCCCCCUCCAUUCA